rnacentral:rRNA from 1 species
AGUGAACGCUGGCGGUAGGCCUAACACAUGCAAGUCGAACGGCAGCACAGUAAGAGCUUGCUCCUACGGGUGGCGAGUGGCGGACGGGUGAGGAAUACAUCGGAAUCUACUUUUUCGUGGGGGAUAACGUAGGGAAACUUACGCUAAUACCGCAUACGACCUACGGGUGAAAGCAGGGGAUCUUCGGACCUUGCGCGAUUGAAUGAGCCGAUGUCGGAUUAGCUAGUUGGCGGGGUAAAGGCCCACCAAGGCGACGAUCCGUAGCUGGUCUGAGAGGAUGAUCAGCCACACUGGAACUGAGACACGGUCCAGACUCCUACGGGAGGCAGCAGUGGGGAAUAUUGGACAAUGGGCGCAAGCCUGAUCCGGCCAUACCGCGUGGGUGAAGAAGGCCUUCGGGUUGUAAAGCCCUUUUGUUGGGAAAGAAAAGCAGCAGGUUAAUACCCCGCUGUUCUGACGGUACCCAAAGAAUAAGCACCGGCUAACUUCGUG